AACGAACGCUGGCGGCGCGCUUAACACAUGCAAGUCGAACGGUCCCGAUAAAGCCGUAAGGUGAUAUCGGGAUAGUGGCAAACGGGUGAGUAAUACGUGGAUAAUCUACCUUUGAGUGGGGGAUAACUUUACGAAAGUGGAGCUAAUACCGCGUAAGACUACAGAAUCGCAUGAUUCAGUAGUAAAAGGCUUCGGUUUACCGGAGUCGCUUAAGGAUGAGUCCGCGCCUGAUUAGCUAGUUGGUAAGGUAAUAGCUUACCAAGGCAACGAUCAGUAGCCGGCCUGAAAGGGUGUUCGGCCACAUUGGAAUUGAGAUACGGUCCAGACUCCUACGGGAGGCAGCAGUGGGGAAUUUUGCGCAAUGGGGGAAACCCUGACGCAGUGACGCCGCGUGAACGAUGAAGUCCUUCGGGAUGUAAAGUUCUGUCAGGCGGGAAGAAUCUUUCCCCGAUGCAAAUCGGGGAAGAAUGACGGUACCGCCAGAGGAAGCACCGGCUAAUUCCGUGCCGGCAGCCGCGGUAACACGGAGGGUGCAAGCGUUGUUCGGAAUUACUAGGCGUAAAGAGCGUGUAGGUGGUUAGCUAAGUCGGAUGUGAAAAUCCCAAGCUUAACUUGGAACGUGCAUUCGAAACUGGUUAACUUGAGUGUAGGAGGGGAGAGCGGAAUUCCUAGUGUAGCGGUGAAAUGCGUAGAUAUUAGGAAGAACACCGGUGGCGAAGGCGGCUCUCUGGCCUAAAACUGACACUGAGACGCGAAAGCGUGGGUAGCGAACAGGAUUAGAUACCCUGGUAGUCCACGCCGUAAACGAUGGGCAUUAGGUGUAGGAGGUAUCCAAUCCUUCUGUGCCGAAGUUAACGCAUUAAAUGCCCCGCCUGGGGAGUACGACCGCAAGGUUG
rnacentral:rRNA from 1 species